UACAGAGGUCUCAAGCGUUGUUCGGAUUCAUUGGGCGUAAAGGGUGUGUAGGUGGCGCCGUUAGUCGGGUGUGAAAUUUCGGAGCUUAACUCCGAAACUGCAUUCGAUACUGCGGUGCUUGAGGACUGGAGAGGAGACUGGAAUUCAUGGUGUAGCAGUGAAAUGCGUAGAGAUCAUGAGGAAGACCAGUGGCGAAGGCGGGUCUCUGGACAGUUCCUGACACUGAGACACGAAGGCCAGGGGAGCAAACAGG
rnacentral:rRNA from 1 species